rnacentral:rRNA from 1 species
AUUGAACGCUGGCGGCAGGCUUAACACAUGCAAGUCGAACGAGUGGCGGACGGGUGAGUAAUGCUUGGGAAUCUAGCCUAUGGAGGGGGAUAACUACGGGAAACUGUAGCUAAUACCGCGUACCAUAGGAUGAGCCCAAGUGGGAUUAGGUAGUUGGUGAGGUAAAGGCGCACCAAGCCGACGAUCCCUAGCUGGUCUGAGAGGAUGACCAGCCACACUGGCACUGAGACACGGUCCAGACGCCUACGGGAGGCAGCAGUGGGGAAUAUUGCGCAAUGGGGGCAAGCCUGACGCAGCCAUGCCGCGUGUAUGAAGAAGGCCUUCGGGUUGUAAAGUACUUUCAGUGGGGAGGCGUUAACCGCAGAAGAAGCACCGGCUAACUCCGUGCCAGCAGCCGCGGUAAUUC